GGAGCAGUGGCUGCUAUUUGCCGAGACCAAACGGGCUUAUACCUAGGGUUGUCGGCAGUGUUUUUCCAAGGAACCAAUUACCCUCAAAUCCUGGAGACAUAUGCGUGUCAGGAAGCACUCGCACUAGCAGAUGACCUAGCUGUGAGAGCCUUCUCUGUUGCAUCCGAUUGCCAAGGAGUGGUGGAUGACAUAAACAGGGGGACUGGAGGUCCAAAUGCAGUGAUCAUACAUUAGAUAAUGAACCAUUGUAAUAGUUUUAUUUCAUGUUCUUUCAUUCAUGAGCGUAGGAACUUUAACUUUAAGGCUCAUAACCUCGCCAAGUUUACUUGUAACCUAGGCGUAGGUAGACAUGUGUGGUUGGGCAAUCCCUAUGACCCAAACCUUGUACCUAUGACCUACACUUUGAAUGAAUAA
rnacentral:rRNA from 1 species